UACGUUCCCGGGCCUUGUACACACCGCCCGUCAAGCCAUGGAAGCUGGGAGUGCCUGAAGUGCGUAACCGCAAGGAGCGUCCUAGGGUAAAAUCGGUAACUGGGGCU
rnacentral:rRNA from 1 species